rnacentral:lncRNA from 1 species
UCACUGCACUUAGGCACUGGACUAUCUGAAUUUCUAAUUCAGUGACGGAAGGCUGCUGGGUGUAGUCAAGUACUUGAUUUGUCGGUGCGUGUGUCAAGAUGGGAUUGACCACUCCAGUUUAGGAGCUGUAUACAGUCGUGUUUCAAUUUAGCAAAAUCUUGACCAGGGUAGUCCUAGUGAGGAGUCACAGGACUAAUUGAGUUGAGCACGAUUCGGAUGAUCUCAUCAGGGUUGACAGUUUAACCCUGAAUCGUCCUAAAUACAGGGGUCAAAAGGGAUGAAUUAUACGGUAACCAUAUUC